rnacentral:lncRNA from 1 species
GUCGGCCUCGCCUUCACCCCUGCUUGGUAAAUCCUCCCCUAACCGGUUCACUUCCACUUUCGUUUUCAUGCCAUCGUCUUCGGAUUCGGGGUUCGGGGUCACCGGCAGGCCGAGCCGGUGUGCUCGCCGCCGCUGGGCACCUGGUGCCGCUUCAUUCGGCCACUGGGUGGAAGAAGUGUUUCGGGCCAUUGGAUCUAUUGGGGGCACCGUGGACCGUUGGAUCAUGGUUAAGCGGAUAGGAUUAGAUCAGGGUAUAGAUGGUGUCUGGACCGUUGAUUCAACCGCCAACGCGUGGGAUUUGGUCGCGCAUACUGGUUGGGUCGGCGAGAUCAGUGCCUUUAGAUCUUGAUCGUGCGGUUCAGAGCAGAUCAAUCCUCAUAAAAUCUAGGUCGUUCAUUUACAAUCCAAGGGAUCCCGAGCCAUACCGGUUCGCGGUGAUGUGCGAUCUAAUCUAGGACCUUGAUCAGUGAUCGGGCGACCAGAUUUCACCGAUACCCCUUCGGCCGUGCACUUUCACAAAAGAACCCCUCGAGAUUUUAGGAAUAAACCCGCAGUCCAUCCCAAGCGCUCACUGAGUCUGGGGAUUUAUUGACCGAGGCCCUUGCACUCUCAGAUUUUCAUGCGCCUAGUCCAGGGAGUUUUUAAAUCAGAGGAAUUUAAUUGGAAAUGUAUUUUUUAAGGUAAAAAUAAAUGCUAGAAUUUGUAUAAUCCCUAGAAAAUUCAUAUGAAGUCCAAACCAAUCCAUUCCAAAUUCUAUAAUUUUAUAUUAUUAUUGUUUAUCAAUUAGUGCCACUGUUUUGACAUGAAAGUUACAUUAAAAUUUAUAUCCUAUUUAAUCUUGUACAAAACACAUAGAAUCUUCAGAAAAUCAUAACUCCUUAGUUUUAAUUCUGAAUUGACUCAUUCUAGUUGCGUUAGUCUCGUAUAAAUAUUUACUAUGCAAUAAUAACAUUUAUUGUACCAUGUUUCAUUCUUUUAUAACUAGACUUUUAUUUAGCUUAUGUUGGUUAGUCUUGUUAAUCUGCUUAUCAUUAUAAUCUACUAAAAUAUGAUCUAUGGUCAAUUUAUAAUUUGGAUUUAAAGUUGAAUUAAUUACUACUUUAGGUUAUCUUUUCUCUGGAAUUAUAAAUAAACUUAGAACCUAGUUUUAGUCAUCUAAUCACAUCAUAACUUGAUGACCGUAACUCCGAGUUUAGUGGUUCUCGAACCCACGAUCUCGUAGCGACGUGUAGAUCAUUAUUAUACAAUUUGUUUUUAUGGUUGGUGUGAUGUUAAUUUUGUUUGUACCAUAUUUGUUUGUAUUGCUACGACUAGCGCGAGGUCACGAGUUACCUGAAGAUCAUCCUGGUACCUGGAAUCUCAAGUCCCAGGCAAGUUGUGCCCUUGACCACAUUUAUUACCCAAUAAUGUUCUUUAUUAUCACUAUUCAAUGCAUAGGUUUAAUUUUGAUGGGACCCAAUAGGUCACCCUAGUCUGUUUAUCUUUUACCUUGUUCACCCCUGAAUCAUUGGGUGGUUAUCCUAUUGCUUAACAUGGUUUUGGGUUAAUAUUUCAUUAUAUCCAUGUUUCUAUUAUUCUGUUAUGUUAUUUAUAUUCAUGAUAAGAUCAUUAUGUUAAUGGAACAUGGAGAACCACCUGGGAAAACGUGCCACCACAAGGGAGGAAUGUGACCCCUUGGCUAACUAAUUAGAAAAGCUAGUGGAAGACUACCUUACCCGAAAGGGGCAAGGGCAGUAGGGGAGUUGCAUGCAGGGAGGUUCUCGGGUUGAUUUUACUGCGAUGGCGGUCAGACGGGGGAUUCUUGCAAGUGCUCUUCCCAUAAACUGUAGAAGGUUUUCGGAAGCUAGUGGAACUUUGUAAAGGCCUCGUAGUGGAUCCCUAGCCAUUCACCUCGGUAGUGUCUAAGGGCCUUGCAAACCCUGGCGACAUGGGAUACAUGACUUGUGGGAAUAGGGUACAACCUCUGCAGAGUGUAAAACUGGUAUACUAGCCGUGCUCACGGUCAUGAGCGACUCAGACACUCACAUGAUUAAUUUAUGUAACUUAAAUUCAAUGUGUCAUUUGCAUUUGCAUGAGAUUAUUUAUUAAUUUUGUUCUAUUAUUUAUUAUGGUUUGGUAUUUACUUACACUUAGUAACUACUAAUAAAAUUUGACCAACUUAUUAAAAGCAAUGCUCAGCUUUAACCCCUAUUGUUGAUCAGCCUUACACAUCACAUGAACUCCCACCUUUGGUGAGUUCAUGCCCACUGGUUUCCCAACAACUUGUUGAGCUAUGAUCAUGUGUGAGCUCACCCUUGCUGUCUCACACCCCCCCCCCACAGGAGAAGAACGGGUGGUUCAAGAGGAGCCACACAACGAGGAGUUUGAUCUGAUCUAGGUGGCGUCUCCCAUUUGACUUAUUGGCGCGAAGGAUGGAUUUAGUUUGUUUUAUAAUUAUCUUUUAUUUUUGUAAGACUUCCG